UGGGGAAUCUUCCGCAAUGGACGAAAGUCUGACGGAGCAACGCCGCGUGAGUGAUGACGGCCUUCGGGUUGUAGAGCUUUGUUAAUCGGGACGAAAGGCCUUCUUGCGAAUAGUGAGAAGGAUUGACGGUACCGGAAUAGAAAGCCACGGCUAACUACGUGCCAGCAGCCGCGGUAAUACGUAGGUGGCAAGCGUUGUCCGGAAUUAUUGGGCGUAAAGCGCGCGCAGGCGGAUAGGUCAGUCUGUCUUAAAAGUUCGGGGCUUAACCCCGUGAUGGGAUGGAAACUGCCAAUCUAGAGUAUCGGAGAGGAAAGUGGAAUUCCUAGUGUAGCGGUGAAAUGCGUAGAUAUUAGGAAGAACACCAGUGGCGAAGGCGACUUUCUGGACGAAAACUGACGCUGAGGCGCGAAAGCCAGGGGAGCGAACGGGAUUAGAUACCCCGGUAGUCCUGGCCGUANACUNNNNNUACUAGGUGUAGGAGGUAUCGACCCCUUCUGUGCCGGAGUUAACGCAAUAAGUACCCCGCCUGGGGAGUACGACCGCAAGGUUG
rnacentral:rRNA from 1 species